UACGUAGGCAGCGAGCGUUGUUCGGAGUUACUGGGCGUAAAGGGUGUGUAGGCGGUUGUUUAAGUUUGGUGUGAAAUCUCCCGGCUCAACUGGGAGGGUGCGCCGAAUACUGAAUGACUUCGAGUGCGGGAGAGGUGAGUGGAAUUCCUGGUGUAGCGGUGAAAUGCGUAGAUAUCAGGAGGAACACCGGUGGUGUAGACGGCUUUCUGGACCGUAACUGACGCUGAGACACGAAAGCGUGGGUAGCAAACAGG
rnacentral:rRNA from 1 species